UACGUAGGGUGCAAGCGUUGUCCGGAAUUAUUGGGCGUAAAGAGCUUGUAGGCGGUUUGUCGCGUCUGCUGUGAAAGACCGGGGCUCAACUCCGGUUCUGCAGUGGGUACGGGCAGACUAGAGUGCAGUAGGGGAGACUGGAAUUCCUGGUGUAGCGGUGAAAUGCGCAGAUAUCAGGAGGAACACCGGUGGCGAAGGCGGUUCUCUGGGCAUUACCUGACGCUGAGGAGCGAAAGUGUGGGGAGCGAACAGG
rnacentral:rRNA from 1 species